ensembl:lncRNA
GACAACGGAAUGAAAAAAGCUGGGUGAGCUCUACAAAAACAAUUAAGUACCCGAAGGCGCUACGUCACCGGAACCAGGGUAUGGUGGGCGGGCCUUUGAAAGCUGCUCCAAAGACCAAGCCUGGAGUGACGGGAAAAAUCCUCCAUUCACCUUCCUAAGGGAGUGAGGUCUCCCACUGCCCAGACAGAUCUACUCACCUGAGAAUCAGAACUAUGAGCCCUGGAUGGUGAAGACAGGGUACGGUUGCCAAGGAUCCAGUAUGUCAGUGUUCAUCAAACCUUAUCUUGAAAAAACCAACCAUCAACAUCAUCAUCGUCAUCAUCAUCUUUGUCGUCAUCAUCAUCAUCACCACCACCUCUUUGUAGUGCCAAGUAGGAGCAAGGAACUGAAGUUGACUUUAUUGUUUUUUAUUUUAAUUUUUACUUUUGUAAAAAUGAUUCAUUUUAUAUAUAGAACUACUCUCUCUCUCUCUACACGUACAUCUGCAUAACUGCAUGCCAGAAGAGGACAUCAGAUCACAUUGUGCGGGGUUAUGAUUCACUAUGUAGUUGCUGGGAAUUGAACUCUGGACUGCUGGAAAAGCAGACAGUACUCUUAACCAGUGACCCAUCUCUCCAGCCCUAACUGCACUUGAAAAGACAUUUCAUAAUCUGAAGUGGAGAGAAAAUCCAAACUAAACUGAUGGUGGUAAAUCCUUUAUCUACUACUCAGAAAAUUCAUGGUGGAGAAAGAUCUUCU